rnacentral:rRNA from 1 species
GAUGAACGCUGGCGGCGUGCCUAAUACAUGCAAGUCGAGCGAACAGACGAGGAGCUUGCUCCUCUGACGUUAGCGGCGGACGGGUGAGUAACACGUGGAUAACCUACCUAUAAGACUGGGAUAACUUCGGGAAACCGGAGCUAAUACCGGAUAAUAUAUUGAACCGCAUGGUUCAAUAGUGAAAGACGGUUUUGCUGUCACUUAUAGAUGGAUCCGCGCCGCAUUAGCCAGUUGGUAAGGUAACGGCUUACCAAGGCAACGAUGCGUAGCCGACCUGUGAGGGUGAUCGGCCACACUGGAACUGAGACACGGUCCAGACUCCUACGGGAGGCAGCAGUAGGGAAUCUUCCGCAAUGGGCGAAAGCCUGACGGAGCAACGCCGCGUGAGUGAUGAAGGUCUUCGGAUCGUAAAACUCUGUUAUUAGGGAAGAACAAAUGUGUAAGUAACUAUGCACGUCUUGACGGUACCUAAUCAGAAAGCCACGGCUAACUACGUG